CAAUAGCGUAUAUUUAAGGUGCUGCAGUUAAAAAGCUCGUAGUUGGAUUUCGGGUGGGAAUGGCCGGUCCGCCGUUUCGGUGUGCACUUGCUACGCCCACCUUGCUGCCGGGGACGUGCUCUUGAGUUCACGCUCGGGACACGGAGUCGGCGAGGUUACUUUGAGUAAAUUAGAGUGUUCAAAGCAGGCCUACGCUCUGAAUACAUUAGCAUGGAAUAACACGAUAGGACUCUGGCCUAUCUUGUUGGUCUGUAGGACCGGAGUAAUGAUUAAGAGGGACAGUCGGGGGCAUUCGUAUUUCAUUGUCAGAGGUGAAAUUCUUGGAUUUAUGAAAGACGAACUACUGCGAAAGCAUUUGCCAAGGAUGUUUUCAUUAA
rnacentral:rRNA from 1 species